rnacentral:rRNA from 1 species
ACGGCUCAGUAACACGUGGACAAUCUGCCCUGAAGAGGAGGAUAAUCCCGGGAAACUGGGGGUAAUACUCCAUAGUUCGUGCUGACUGGAAUGUUAUGCGAACGAAAGAUCCGCCGCUUCAGGAUGAGUCUGCGGCCGAUUAGGUAGUUGUUGGGGUAACGGCCCAACAAGCCUGUCAUCGGUACGGGUUGUGGGAGCAAGAGCCCGGAGAUGGAUUCUGAGACACGAAUCCAGGCCCUACGGGGCGCAGCAGGCGCGAAAACUUUACCAUGCGGGCAACCGUGAUAAGGAAACCCCGAGUGCCGGCACAGGCUGGCUGUCCACCAGUGUAAAUAACUGGUGAAGAAAGGGCCGGGCAAGACCGGUGCCAGCCGCCGCGGUAAUACCGGCGGCUCGAGUGGUGGCCGCUAUUACUGGGCUUAAAGGGUCCGUAGCUGGAUAUACAAGUCCCUUGAGAAAUCCGCCGGCUUAACCGGUGGGCGUUCAGGGGAAACUGUAUUUCUAGGGACCGGGAGAGGUGAGAGGUACUGCCGGGGUAGGAGUGAAAUCCUGUAAUCCCGGUGGGACCACCUAUGGCGAAGGCAUCUCACCAGAACGGGUCCGACAGUGAGGGACGAAAGCUGGGGGAGCAAACCGGAUUAGAUACCCGGGUAGUCCCAGCUGUAAACGAUGCGCGUUAGGUGUGUCAGUGACCACGUGUCACUGAGGUGCCGAAGGGAAACCGUGAAACGCGCCGCCUGGGGAGUACGGUCGCAAGGCUGAAACUUAAAGGAAUUGGCGGGGGAG